rnacentral:rRNA from 1 species
GUGCCAGCCGCCGCGGUAAUACGAAGGGGGCUAGCGUUGUUCGGAAUCACUGGGCGUAAAGCGCACGUAGGCGGAUCGUUAAGUCGGGGGUGAAAUCCCAGGGCUCAACCCUGGAACUGCCUUCGAUACUGGCGAUCUUCGAGUCCGGGAGAGGUGAGUGGAACUCCGAGUGUAGAGGUGAAAUUCGUAGAUAUUCGGAAGAACACCAGUGGCGAAGGCGGCUCACUGGCCCGGUACUGACGCUGAGGUGCGAAAGCGUGGGGAGCAAACAGGAUUAGAAACCCCAGUAGUCC